UACCUUAAAUCAUUUCCAUAAAUUCGAUUUUAUUUAACGAUUGGAAACAAAAAAGAAGCAAUUUCAAAUUCUUCCGUUUCUUAUCACAUUCCACGAGCGAACGAUCUAUCCACCAGACAGAGGAGGCGCGAGAGAUUGAAAGAGCGAUUGCGAUUCGAAGCGUCUGCGUGACACGGUGUCUCAUUAUUUGCGACUGAAGGAGGAGGAAUCAGUUGUCGGGACACGUAUUAGCCGCCGUACGUGGCGACAUCCGCUAAUCAAAUACAAGUGUUCGUCAGCAGUCCCGUAUUAUAGAGACGUAGACGUAGCGAAGUCUGUUUCCGAGCUCUGAUAGCCGCGAUAAAUACGCGUUUAAGCGCUCUAUAAUUGUUGUCGCGUGCGUUGCAUUUUUAAACUUUGCCGCCAUUCGUUGCCCUAUCCAAGGAACCGACGAAACACGACUUUUCACGAAGAUAGUCGAAUCUUUUUGUUUCAUAUUUCGAUACAAAUAUCGAUAUAAGGAUUGAAGAAGAAAGAUGUAAAAAAUUUCUUUUGCGACAAGUGAUUGUUUUUCUUCACAAUUUUAAUCUUUUUUUCAAAAUAUUCAAUAGCAAGUGACGAAUUAUUUACACAUUGAAUAAAUUCACGUUUGCACUCGUUUUCGGUUAAUUGAUACAUUCAAAUUCACCUGAAUAGAGGUAUGUUUUCAGAAGUCUAAAAUUACAUUUGGUUAAUGUUUGUGAAUUUGUUCGAUUCUUUUGAAUGUUGAAAGAUAUUUAUUUUAAAGAAAUUUUAAAGACAAAUGAUGAUCAUUAAAAAUUCCCUAGGCGCGUAUAAUUUCGUAGGAAAAGAAUAUGAUUGGCCGACACAGAGAAUAUACAACCAAGCUGACCGAUCAUGGGCCAUGGAUGGUCGUUGGGUCGGUUGAGUAGACCGUUGUAACAGUACCUCACGUGCCAUAGAGAUCCCAUAACCGGCUGCGCGUAAAAAAAUACGCUUCGGUGCAAUCGGUCAGUUGGGAUGCAACCGAAGCGAAGAGCAUAGUCGAGCAACUGUGAAAAUAAGUGUAUAAUUUCUCUCUCACAUUCUUAAUUCAAAGUUUCUUUUACAGAAUUAUAAUGAAUUAUAAUUUUAAAGUAAAUUAAUUUUUUCGAUAAUUUUUACGAUAUUUCUUCAAAUGAAGAUGUUGGAAAAUUCUGAGAUGGGCUCCAAAAGAAAAGCAAAGGAUUUGGGAAAAGUAUCGGUCCUAAACUCAAGAAAAAGAAAAAGAAGGAGGAGAAGGAG